rnacentral:lncRNA from 1 species
CUUGGACAUCUUUUGCUUCACAUGACCAGGACCGUCCCACUUCUGGCUCCCUGUCCAGGCAGUGGAGAGAAGUGGGCUCCAACUAUCCUUCUGAAUAUCAGUGUCAUUCCUGAGCAAGCACUUGUGAACAGAAUUGAACUUCUGGGAGACAAAGAUGCUCAAAUGGAAACCAUACUGGCAUUUAAACCAUGA